GCGGCUCUCCAAGUUCUACCAGCCUUAAGGUGAAGAUAUACAACAGCAACCAUCAGGGUAUCUAAGAAAGAUGAAAAUAUUUGUAAUUUCCUAGAAGGAGGAUUUUGAUAAUCAGUCUUAAGCUGUGUAAUUUACUGUGACCUAUGGAGUUAAAUCUAAUUAACUGGUGGAACUGACAACAAACUGAUUUAUAGACAUUAUGCGACCCUAUAUUUUGUCUUCUGUGUGGAUUCUUCAAAAAGUGAACUUGGCAUUUUUAGAUCUAAUUCAAGUGUUCGCAGAAAACUUAGGCAAAUGUUUUUGUCUGUGAACUGGAUUUAAUUUUCCAUGUAGACAAGGUUCACGAUAUUCUUGCAGAAAUCGUUAUGGGGGAAUGGUAUUGGAGCCCAGCAUGAAUGAGAUUGUUACAUAAUUGAUUCACAAAAUAAACUGGAGAGAUCUGAGGCUGGCUUAGAAGGAGCUCCAGCCCCUGCUGUAUCAGCUGUAAAUAUGAAUCUUCCUGAGAUCCCAAGAAAUAUCAACAUUGGUGACAUCAGUAUAAAAAUGCCAAACCUGCCCUCUUUAAAAUAAAAUAUUUAAAAGGCCACUCCCAGGUAAAAUCCAGGGGGAAAAGUCAUCUAAGUUUACCAUGCAGUUGUUUACUAAAAAUAGCAGAGGAGAGUUUUAAAUUUUGCUCUUGGAUUUAAGUCAAGGUACUGUAUAGAAAUUGUGUAAAAUCAGUAUGGAAGUUCAAUGUUGCUUUUCUUGCUCAGUGGUUUAAUUGAGUAGUUCCAGGGUGAUUUUUUUUUUCCUUCUUAAACUGCAUUCCUAUGCCCACCUAAGGCAUGCCUCUGUGUAUUGGCUAUUACAGUAUUUUGAAAAGUAAGAUAUUUCUUUAAUUAUGCACAACCUAAAAUGUUGGUGUUUUGUAUGGAUCAUCAGUGCAGCAUUCCUUAAUUCUCUGCUAUUUGUCACAAGUGUUAUUUAAGAACCAAGUGUGUAUUGCAUGAAAACAUUAUGACCUUUUUCUCUUAGUUUAAAUAAAUUCCAAGAUAACUGGACGUUUAAAGCACCUGUCUGACAUCUACUUUAGCAAUAAUUUU
rnacentral:lncRNA from 1 species